rnacentral:rRNA from 1 species
UUGUGUCUAAAGAUUUAUCGCUUCAGGAUGGGCUUGCGGCCUAUCAGGUAGUUGGUGGGGUAAUGGCCUACCAAGCCGACGACGGGUAGCUGGUCUGAGAGGACGAUCAGCCGGAUUGGGACUGAGAUACGGCCCAGACUCCUACGGGGGGCAGCAAUUAGGAAUCUUGCGCAAUGGGGGAAACCCUGACGCAGCGACGUCGCGUGAAGGAUGAAGGCCCUCGGGUCGUAAACUUCUUUUGAGUGGGAAGAAAUUUGACGGUACCACUCGAAUAAGCCCCGGCUAACUACGUGCCAGCAGCCGCGGUAAUACGUAGGGGGCGAGCGUUGUCCGAAGUUACUGGGCGUAAAGCGCGCGUAGGCGGUUAUUCAAGUCUGGGGUGAAAGGUUCAGCGCUCAACGUGAACAGUGCCUUGGAUACUGGAUGACUUGAGUCUGGAAGGGGGAAGGGGAAUUCCUGGUGUAGCGGUGAAAUGCGUAGAUAUCAGGAGGAACACCGGUGGCGAAGGCGCCUUCCUGGUCUAAGACUGACGCUGAGGUGCGAAAGCGUGGGGAGCAAACGGGAUUAGAUACCCCGGUAGUCCACGCCGUAAACGAU